CUUCCUGAUCCGUAACCAGAUUUUUUAGAAGAUAUUCCGCGAGAGGCAACGUCGGCCGGGUUCUCGGCGGAACGUAUGUGUCGCCAAGUUGUUUCGGGUAGCGUUGUUUGAAUUUCUGAGACCCGAUUGGCGACGAAGGUCUUCCAUUUGGUAGGGUGCUGUUGCAGCCAGCUAAGAACAAUGGAAGAGUCCGACCAAAGAUGAAGAGAGCUUUUAGAAAUUGAAGCGGAUGGCUCCUGUUGCGGAUCGUCG